UGCCAGGGAAGGAAUUAACACACUAUUAGGCACAGACAAUAUUGGUAGAUUGGUAAGUAGGAGCACCUACUUGAACCAAAGAGGGGAGGCAUGAAGAAUUACCUGGUUUUGAAUAGAUUGACUUUGUUUUCUGCUUCUCUAGUGGCUUCAUUUUCCAGGUGAUGCUGGCACUUCAUCCAAUUCCCACAUAUAAGCACUACUGAAUAACCAAAAAAGUCAUAUUCAUCUGCCAUUGUUUGCUUUUUGUAAAACUUAUUGUAUACCUAGAUAUAAUGAAAGAGCAGAAUGCAUUUCAAUUUUUUUUUUGUUUUGUUUUGUUUUCUCACAUAUUUAGACAACCAAAGCAAUUACUGAAAAUUUUCCGGUUAGUGACAGCUGUAUUUGACCCUAACGUCAGAAGUCUAGUUGGAAAAGAGUGAAAUGGCAAGCAACAAAAGUCUCCAAUAUCAGCAGAAUUUCCCAAGGACAAAAGCCAAGGAUCAGGAGGAAGGAUCUGUCAAGGGAAGUCGUGACCACAGUAGGAAAUCAGUGGGUUUUGCUGAGAUGAAUCCAAUUUGCAAACAGAAGCAAACUGGAAAAUGCAGGCCUUAUUUCAUCUUUGCCCAAAUUGGUGUUUGAACUUCUGCAAAGCAGUCACGAGGUCUUGUGUUCCCAUGUGCGGGUUUUGUGUCUUCAGUUCUCAGAAAACUGCAACAGGAAUGGGAAAUACUUGUCUCCACUUCAAUGCAAAUGCCAAACUGAGGGUGACAAGGCUUGUCCAGUCUCCUAAUGUUUAACUGGUGCAGCUGAGAAGAAAAUGGAGCUGUCCUGUUCUGACCCCAAACCUGCUCCAUGCCACACAGCUGGGACCAGAAGAUUGUUUCUCUGUGCUUUUCCUAUUCCCUGAAAAGAAAAAAGUCCUGGAAUACCAACAAAGCCUGGCUCAAAGACAGCACGUGUGGUCACUUGUAAGCCUCUCAGGAAGGACUGGAUAAGAGGUAACAAGCACUAGCUUUUCCUUGAUUCUCCUGAGAUGGAUGAUUUAAUUACAGAAGCAAAUGGGUUUAAGUCUUUUAUGGCUUCCAUUACCACAGGAGAGAAAUGCCUUCUCUGUGCAUAACUUAUCCACAUAAACUUGCCCCUCUAGUUGGGAAACAACAAAUGGAAUCAAGAUGAAAAGAUAAUCCUAAAAUCUUCAUCUGUCUUGCAGCUGAAAAAGCGCUAUCAGAAGGUCAUGGACUGUAUAUGACUGAUGUUUCUGCAAGCUUUGAGAAAUCCAUCAGUGUUGCAUUGGAUUCAUCAUCUUUCCUGACAUAAAAAUUGAUAAAUAGGAUGUGCUUCAUAGUUAAUUCCUAUCCUUUCUAUACAGGCCAUACACAUAAAAGAAAAAGCCCUGUGAUUGUGAAGGAACUUAUGAUAGAGCAUGCAUUCAAGAUUAUACAUGCAUAUGAAAAUCAUCUGAAAAUUUGCUUUCAUAGUCUGUCUGAUCAACUGAGGAGGAAGAGAUGCUGUGUCUAGACAUGCAAAGAUGCAUAUCAGUUAUGCUACAAUAAUUUUUAAGGCAAGGUACACAGCCACUUGACAGAUGGUAAUUCCUUCUUUAGAGCUUCCUGUUUUUCUCCCUGACUCUCGAGUUGUUAUGAUAAACUUGGCACAGCUUUGUUGCUUGGAAGGAAGCUCUGUGACAGAGGAGCAUGUGUGUUGUACAAGUAUGUACACAUGCCUCAAAUCAUUAUUGUAUAACACAUCCUCUGGCACUGCUGCAUCUAUUUGCAGAAUAGAUGGAUGGCUGAGCUUUUUGAACUUGAAUAAAUCAUCUCUGAACAAAAUAUCUGAGUCCCUACUGCUGGAACAUCCUCUGAUAUGUGUUUCUAAACCAAGUAAGAAGCCCAAGAAGAGAUGCAAAGCAAAAAGAGAUGAUCACAAGGAAGAGAAGGCUGAACAGCAUGGUAAAUAUAAAUAUAAGUACCUCGUAUUUAAGUGCAAGAACAUCUCACAUUUCUAAAAUUCUGGCAACUUUGAAUCAUCAGAGAGCAUCAAGGCAAGUAGUCCUAAACUAUGUCUUUCACUUCAGCCAUAUGAUGAAGAUUUUUUUAACGCUGUCUCCUCUCUCUUUUCCUAAAGAGCUCUAAAUUUGCAUGAAAAAUAGGGGAAUAGAAAACUUCAAGGAUUAUUAGUAAAAUGUGAUGGUGGUGUGGGUUUCUGUAACUGUGCCUUGGGUUAAUAAAGGACAAAUAAGUGAGUUACAGAAACUGUGCCUUGUUUUUCUGUCUUAAGGAUAAUGUGAACUACUGAUUCCAAAAAUGUAUUGUGAGGCCUCAUAAGUAUUGACUUUUAGAGGAAUAUAAUUAAUUCUUCUCAAUUAAGCUUGUAUUGGCUAAAAGCUAGGUGUUGAUUUUUAGUCAUUAUUGACAGAACAUUUUAUUGAAGGCAUUUUUUAUAUCAUGUGGUAAAAUGCUGAGAUUUGUAAUUAACACAUUGUAGGUUCCAAAGUGAUAAGUUUCUUACAGGACUUUAAAUUACUGUUACGUAUUGCUCAUUCUACUUUCUGCAUGUAGAACCUUCUGGCAGUUCAUCAAAAGUAGCAGAAAAUUUCAAUUAAAAGUGUCCUCUUGGAUUUUGUGCAUACCACAUAUGAAACAAAAUACCUUCUUGUAGUUUAAUGACCUCAUGUGGGAGAAAUCUUGAAUGAAAUAUUUGGUAUUUUUAUUUGGGUUUUCUUUUACAAGGGGGACAAUCUGCAGCUGACUUAAUGCCUGGUAGUUGGUUUCAUUGGGCACUUUAAGGUAUAUCUGCCAGCUGAGAGCAGAUAGCCCUCCUGCACUGGCCUGGGAGAGGAACCAGUUUCAGCAGCAUUGUGCCACACAUGCUGCCACAAAUGAAGUCAAAGGUGCUAGCAACCAUGGUGUUCCACUUAACUGUCCUGAAAAUGAUACUGGAAAUGAUGAUCCUCACCAUGGAAGUGAACAGCCUGCAUUCUAAGGUCUGCACCUGCUUUUACUCAGUUCAGCAGCAGCUCUAAAGUCAAUGCUAACAGUAUAUUUGCAGUGUAACAGAGUGAGCACACUUUUAUCCACCUCCCCACCCUUCCCCUGCACCCUUUUUUUUUAACAGCAAUUAAUUUCAGCAAUUACUCUUCCUCCUUUCUGGUUUAUUGCCUGGGUACCACUAAGGCCAGUGUUGUGACUGUAGUAUCAAUUUUAGUGGAGGUUUACUGCCCAGCUCCCUCAAACCCCACUAACUGCUGACACGGGCAGUACUAAGGGAGCAGGAAUGAUGCAGGAGGUACAAGGCAGGAGAAAGUUUAAGGCCAGAGCUGCUGAAAGGAGCAUUUGUGAAGCCCUCUGAGGAUGCCAACUCCCAGCAAGGAGAACUGACUCACAAGCAGGCUACAAAUGUGCAGCCUCUGUGCAGGCUGAGCAUCCUUUUCAGCGAGUUGGUGUUCCUGUGACAGCGACAGGCGUGCCCCCAUCCAGCCCACACUCAGAGAGGAUCAGCUGGGACCUGGAGGCUUCACAAGUGCAUGAAUUCAGGGCUGGCCCUGCCAUAAACUGGAUGAGAGAGGCUGCAUUUCAAUUUGGAUUGAACUCCACACCACUGUGGCUUCCAAACUAGAGCUGGCUCACUUCUUGUUGAUUUGGAGGACAAGACACUGGAAUGAGAACCCGUGGGGAAAUAUGUUCUGCUGACUGAUGUCCCUGGGAAGGGUAAAGUGGGGUAACCUCAUGCAGUGUGUAAAGGUACAAAGCCAUUAAAAAAACUAAAUUAUGUCUUCAACGAAAAGUAGAAGAGAAAAUUAUUUUUCUUUUGUCAUUUUUCAUACCGUCCAGCAUGUUGUAUAUCAUUGUAUACCAUCCAGUUGUAACUGAGAGAAUAUUUAUUUUUGCCCUUGUAUGAAGUAAAAAAGGGU